CGCCUGAUCCGUUCAUUGUUUUCCAGGUAUUACUGCUUGCUUGUGCCCCUGACGGUCCCCGUCAUAAUCGUGGCUGUGUACCUGCAUUGGCUGAGCAUGAAGAUGUUUAAGCAUGCGUGAGGAGUAGCCGUGCUAAACAAAAUCCAUGUUGUUGAGAAUCAUCGUAGGCAUCACGAGUUCAUCACACUUAAGAUUGCAAUAUUUUUUCUAUAUAAGACAAAUUUCCUAGUGACUUUUUUCUUCUUUAGGGGAAACUACGUGCAUUUUUUUUACCAGAAAAUGGGCUUGAUCAUAUUAUAACUAAGGUGUGAGAGCAUCUCUAGCCGAUCCCUUAUAAUUUAACUCCUAAGGGCAUCUCUAACCGAUCUCCUAUAAUCCUUUAGUGGAGAUAGUGGAGGCAAAAUUAUUCUUCUCAGCCCAAAAACUACCUCCCCACCGGCGCCGCCCCUACUCGUCACAGUCAUCACCGAUGCCCCUGAUCCCCGCUGGUAUGGAGAAGCAAGACCAUUCCACCACCCCGCCGGCUGCCAUGGCCAUCGACGCGUCGUUGCCAGAAACGACCACUGCACCGCUGCCCACGCCAAAAAAUGUUGGGCACCAAAAACCUUCUUCGGGCCACCUCACCGGCAACCAGCGCCAAUAGUAAGGUCGCUGCAUCUCCGGUGACGGCAGGCCGCCAUCCCGCUACUCCAACCGUCGGCAAGCGGGCAAGGAAGCCAAUGGCGGCUGUGUCGGCGCUCGCCGAGGAGGUGGCAAAGAAGAAGGACAAGAAGGUGGCUCCAGUGCCUCAUCCUCGUCCGGCGCCUUGAACCUCGUCUCUGACCACCCCUACGGCCACUCCUGUGGCGCGUCCAGCCGCCGCUGUCGACAACAAGGGCCGUGGCCGCCAAGUGGUCGAUGAAAUGCCAUCAAGGUAAAAAAUUGUCUUUUCAUUUCGGUCAGUGCAUUGUUUGGUAUUGCUUCCAGAUGGGACCACGGAAGAACAAAAACUUGCGACGGUGGAAAAAGUAUUUCGGGUCGCUCUCUGUUGUAUUGGGAACAUUUGAGAAUUUAUAGAGGUGAAACUAGGUCAAGAGGUGCCACGAGGGACCCACAAGCCUGGAGGGCGCGCCUACCCCCCUAGGCACCCCCCGAUCUUGUCGCUCCCUCGUAGCUCGUCUGGUCUUCUACUGAACCUUCUAGGGUCCCUUCUGGUUUAGAAAAAAUUAAUUCAAAGUUUUUUUCUAUAUUUAGAUUGUUUGAUAUUGAUUUCCUGAAAAUCUAAAAACAAGCAAAAAAACAACAACUGACACUGGGCACUAGGUUAAUAGGUUUAACCCAAAAAAGAUAUAUAAUUGCAUAUAAACAUCCAAGAUUGAUACUAUAGUAGUAUGGAACAAUCAAAAAUUAUAUAUACGCCGGAUACGUAUCAGGCACCUUCAGCUCCGCCUCUAGCUCGGGCUUGGGGAUGCGGAGGUUGCCUUGCCGCGCGGAUAGUGGUGUCAAAACAGCCCCGGGGGCUUGCACGCGGCGCGAGCCGACCACCUGCUCGUAGGAGUGGUCGUCCCACCGGGCGUGCCGUGCAACGACUUUCUUUUACGCCGGUGGGAACACACCCUCAAACCGCCAAAGACGGUUCAGACUGUCCUGCUCGAGGAUCAUCGGCCAGAGCAUGUUGUUGACGCUGUAGAAAGGGUCGUCCCUCUCCUCCGGCAAUAGCCUCACCUAGAACUCCCUCGUCCAAGCACGUAUCCGGUCGAAGUCGGCCUCGGGGACCGACGACACCGAAAUCCCCUCGAUGCUAAGCUUCCACCCCGACGACAGUCGGAUGUCCGGCGGCGUGACGCCGCCCAAACGGUCGAGCUCGUUCGCCUGCUAGAUGAUGAGGCUACUCCGCCCUCCUCCCCACAUGGCCGACGCGACGACGUGGGCAGCGACUGUGUUUUAGGCUAGGGUUACUGGCGGUGGCGGCAGCGGCGGCGGCCUUCUUCUGGGCUCGGUGGCAAUGGUGCAGUGCAUGGGGGUGUGUGUGUGUGUGUCUGGAAGGAGAAGGGCGGUAGGUAGGACGCGCGAGUGGCCGGCUUAACGUUGUAAUUAAUGGCGGGUGCAACGUGGCUGACGGUGGCAGGCGGCAAGUGACUCGGCGCUUGUGGGUAAAAUCCACGCCGGCAAGCGACUCAGCGUCUUAUAGGUAUCCAUGUUGGCUUGCUGUGUGGGAAACUGCCGCCUCGUGCGGCGUGGUUGAUUGCUGACCACCCACAUACGGUCGCGUACAUGACGUGUAUCGGCGAGCUCGAG
rnacentral:lncRNA from 1 species